rnacentral:rRNA from 1 species
GUCUAUAUGAAGUUAUAUGAAGUCUAACCUGCCCAUUGAAUAAUUUAAAAGGCCGCGGUAUAUUAACUGUGCAAAGGUAGCAUAAUCAUUAGUUUUUUAAUUGAAGGCUUGUAUGAAGGGUUGGACAAAGAAUAAUCUGUUUUUAUUUUUAUUUUUGAAUUUAACUUUUAAGUGAAAAGGCUUAAAUAAAUUUAAGGGACGAUAAGACCCUAUAAAUCUUUAUAUUAUAUUAUUUUUAGUUAAUUAAUAUUGUAAAUAUAAUAAUAAGGUAAUAUAUAUUAUGUUGGGGUGAUAAGAAUAUAAUAAAUAAUUGUUCUAAAAUGAAAACAAAAUUGUUUGUGUUAAUAAUAGAUCCUUUAUUGAGAUUAAAAGUUUAAGUUACUUUAGGGAUAACAGCGUUAUUUUUUUUGAGAGUUCUUAUCGAAAAAAAAGUUUGC